UAGGACGAACGCUGGCGGCGUGCCUAACACAUGCAAGUCGAGCGAGGAGAUCCUUCGGGAUGAUCCUAGCGGCGGACGGGUGAGUAACACGUGGGCAACCUGCCUCAUAGAGAGGAAUAGCCUUCCGAAAGGGAGAUUAAUACCUCAUAACAUUGCAGUUUCGCAUGGAACAGCAAUUAAAGGAGUAAUCCGCUAUGAGAUGGGCCCGCGGCGCAUUAGCUAGUUGGUGAGGUAACGGCUCACCAAGGCGACGAUGCGUAGCCGACCUGAGAGGGUGAUCGGCCACAUUGGGACUGAGACACGGCCCAGACUCCUACGGGAGGCAGCAGUGGGGAAUAUUGCACAAUGGGGGAAACCCUGAUGCAAGCAACGCCGCGUGAGUGAUGACGGCCUUCGGGUUGUAAAGCUCUGUCUUCAGGGACGAUAAUGACGGUACCUGAGGAGGAAGCCACGGCUAACUACGUGCCAGCCGCUGC
rnacentral:rRNA from 1 species